rnacentral:rRNA from 1 species
GCCUGCCUACGGGACGCAGCAGUGAGGAAUAUUGGUCAAUGGGCUUACGCCUGAACCAGCCAAGUCGCGUGAGGGAAGACUGCCCUAUGGGUUGUAAACCUCUUUUGUCAGGGAGCAACGCCGGCUACGUGUAGCCGGACUGAGAGUACCUGAAGAAAAAGCAUCGGCUAACUCCGUGCCAGCAGCCGCGGUAAUACGGAGGAUGCGAGCGUUAUCCGGAUUUAUUGGGUUUAAAGCGUGCGUAGGCGGAAU